GUGCUCGCUUGGGCAGCACAUAUACUAAAAUUGGAACGAUACAGAGAAGAUUAGCGUGGCCCCUGUGCAAGAGAUCUUGUAUUUUAGCGGAAAACAUCUUGUAACU
ensembl:snRNA U6 U6 spliceosomal RNA